AUGGAUUUCGGCCUGUUUUUAAUGCAGUUCGUCCAAUGUUUUGUUGCAGCUUCCUCGGUGGCCCAGACGACUCAUGGGUUUAUCCUUUUUCUCUUCCUGCUGAUGUUCACCUUGAUCAUCGCUUGGUGGGUGCUCCGUCUGUUGUUAAUCGUUCCAAGGGUGUGCCUUUGCGUGUGGCCGGUGCUUUCGGUCGGCCUACUCCUCUUGAUGAGUUUAGGUUCUGAAACAUGCAUCUGCCACUGCCUUUUUUCUUUUCUUUUUUUGUUUGUGUUGGAUAUGGUUCUAAUUUGUAUAUGUGGCUGUUUUUUGAGUGAUGCCUACUCCUGUCAUGCAAUACUUUCGUAA
rnacentral:rRNA from 1 species